ensembl:lncRNA
GUGUGUGUGUGUGUGUGUGUGAGAUGGAUUAGAUGACAGGUGUGUGUGUGUGUGUGUGAAGUGGUGCACCAGGCAUUUGCAUGUAGAGCGCUCCAAGCCCUCGACUGCAGCACUUAUUAGAAGCAUGUAAGUGGGAGGCUGCUUCCAUCACCAGGAACCAGGGGUGAAAUGCUGCUUUCUCCUACAGAAAAUGACUGACUGGCAGUCAGGUAGCAAUGCCUCAGCACAGCAUGAGGAUGAAGGAGAGCAGGCAGUCUGUGGCAAGGGAAUUGGUUCUUGUGAAUAUUUUACCUACCUGACAAAGCUUCUCCACCUGAGCGGAUCUCUCGCUCAACUGGCGCUGGCAGUUAAACUGAUGGACAUAUGUACACGCCCCUGACUCCGUUUAUGUGAUGUAUCGCUUGCACCGUCAACACUGAAUCCGCCAUUGACAGCAAUGCAAUUUAUGCUCAGGCAAAAUAGUUGUAUGAUUUCUAAGAAGAAAUGAGGUCGGCAUACUAAAACAUUAAUGCCAGAUUGAUCAAAUAAGAAAAGGGGGAGAGUGGAUCAGAGAAGUCCUGUUCAAAUGGAUGAAGCGUAGCUAGUUUGAUUCCAGAUAUCAAACGGCAGCAAACAUCUGUUAUUAAAGCAAUUGUAUCAUUUGGGUUGUUAUGGCUUUAAUAGCAUAGUACUUGUCGUGCUAGCGGCGCCUUCUCAUUGGUCCAAAUGUCAGAGCAGAGUGAGAAGGCAAGACGUUACCUGCUGCUGCUGCUGUAUCUGGGCUGUCUGGUCUAGACGGAGGCAGAACUCUGUGUCUUCUCUGAGCUGGCCACAAGGGGGCAGACUUCACCAACUCUCACCUAACAGAUGGCUUUUGUAGGCUUUAGCUUCAUUAUCUUUAUUACCUCAGUCAGUGUUGAUGUUAAGCUUCUGGUGGAUGUUGCACAAUCUAAACAUGUUCAUAUCUUAACAGUGUUGUCGUGUAUAAUUAAUUUGACUGUCACGAUCUGCUUCAUAAUAUUAUCUAAUGAGAAUGUGUUUGCUCAGUAAGUCUACUGUCAGGGAUAAUCCUAUGCCAUGUUUUAAAAAAUUAAAUAAAAAGUAUUCUAUUUAUUUACCCCUAGCAGGCAGAGCCGCACAUCAGGCUUUCAUGUGUUCUGAUGAAAUGAGCUAUGGAAGAUGAAAUGACUCAGUAUAGCCAAAAACAGUUUGAAAGGGAGCACAGCUCUGCUCUGUUGGUGCAGCAGUGUCAUUGUUAUGCUGAUUGCUGCAGAAUAGUCUGUGUGGCCUGGAUAAUACAGAAUUCAAGCUGGGUAUACAGCUUUUCAGAUAUUCACCUCCAUUUUACCAUGUUGGCUCAGGACAGGAUUUGUAUGCGGCUCUAAGAUGGUGCAGUUUCUGAAUUUUAGAUGCAUUUUAAGGAAAAGCCACAUAGAUGGUGACCCAUUUUUUUAGAAAGCUAUUAUAACAUAGCUUUCACUAAGAGAGCACCAGAAUGGAGGGUAAUCAAGUGUAAACGGACGUAAGGGCUUUUAGGGUUGCACUUUAUUCAAACAAUGCUACUGUGUGGCGCGUGCUGUCCUCCAUAUGACAUCUAAACGUGUGUGUGUGUUGCGUAUUCCGCAUUUGUGGUUGUCACCUUGAUGCUAAGGAUGGGUUGUCAACAGGGAUUUGAUGCAGUGACUCCCUGCAGCUACCGCUAUCCCUAGCAUGACAGAACCCUACGCAGCUCUAAAAAUACACUUUCUCUCAUUCAAUGGUUCUAUAAAUAGAGUACUGUCAUUAUAGGAUCCCCUGUUGGACCCUUGGCCUCCCCCUGCUGGCUACUGUGGAAACAAGUUUUUCCCUUCCUUCCUUCCUUCCUCUGGGUGGUAAAUCCCAUAACAGCGACUGUAAUACUACCUCCCUGCGUGGCUCCAGGGCCGCUCUUGGCUUUAAAUCCAUAGGGGAGUAUACAGACAACAAUUAGGUUGGUUGUUGUCUCUGUCUUUGAGAAUUGGGCUCCUGACUAGGAGGGUAAUCCAGUGCUUUGCAGGCAAGGCUGGGCUGAGACGAGGCGUCCAUGUUUCUGUCAGCCUCCAGUCAGAGUGUGGAUCAGCUGCUCCACUGUAACACUGUCUGCUUAUCUGGCUGCAGCCUCAGAUUUACGUGCUGGGCUGAAAUUAUUGUCCAUUUUUAGGGGGUCACUGUGGCAGUCAAGGGAAAGAGCAUCUGCAUCUGGGUGCCGGGGGGGUAUUUUUUUUCUUCCAGAGUCUCUCCCUCCGCCACCUCCCCUGACUUGUGAGGAAGUGUUGAAGCGCACGCAGUGUGUAACGGGGGCUGAUCCGUCAAAGCCGCACUGGGCUUGGCCACAGAAAUAGCAGCAGUGGGCUUGUCCUGGUUGUUUUAAGCCAGGGCUGUAUUUGGUAACCGUCUGGCACCGCCCCUGAUGCCUUAGCUUGGCUUCUUUUAGGCCCUGUCUCUGGCAAAACCAAUUUAGUUUCAACAAUGGUUCGUCCCCUCUGCUGCUGGACUAGAAUGGGACAUUUUCCCUUGGCGUGUAGCUAAUGACUGGGGGUUUAGAAGAUAGUGGUGAGACUGAGGCAUUGACGGUGCAGGGUACGGCAAGGCAGGGAGGCAUGUGACACUCUGCAGCCAUGCAGCAAAAUUCUCCUGAGGCUCCCCUUGGGGAGCUGAGGAUGGAGCCACUGACAUGGCCCAAUCGCCAUGUGUGUCAGUGAGAGCGUGUGAGUGAGCCACGGCAGUCAAGCUUAACAGAUCUCCUUGUCGUCAGGAGGAUUGACUUGGCUGUUCCUAAUUCCAGGACAUCGGCUGUUUUUCUGCUUUCUCCUUCAUGCUUCCAGCCCUUCUUUGAAUAAGACAUACAGAGAGACAGAAGACCGAUAUACAGUGCAUUCGGAAAGUAUUCAGAACCCUUGACUUUGUUCCACAUUUUAUUACGUUACAGCCUUAUUCUAAAAUGGAUUGCAUUUUUGCGUGUAGAUUGAUGAUGGGGGGGGGGGAACAAAAUAAAUAAUUUUAGAAUAAGGCUGUAAUGUAACAAAAUGUGAAACAAGUCAAGGAGUCUGAAUUACUUUCCAUAUGCACUGUACACUGACAUAAGAGAGACAAUUCACUUUUCCCUUCAACUGGAUAUCAUUCCAUUCGUAAUCCUCCACCACACUGACUUGAAACUGAAUUCUAUAUACUCUUUCCAUUUGAAGGAAGUUGUGUGGCCUGCAAUAGACUAGCGUCCUGUCCAGGGAGUGCAUUUGUACCUCAAGCUGCCUCACGCUCCAGAAACAGGAGACAGAACGGCCAAUAGGACAGGAGCCUGUCUCGAACAGGGCUACUUAUGUGGCCUUCAUAAAGGAAUUGCUUUGAUGUUCUGUAACUGGAUACUUUUGAAACAUUAUUUGUAACCAAAGAGUAUUCUAGGAUUGUUUACAUGUUGAUCUCAUCUGUGCUGUGUCGUGCAGUGCCCUUUCCCUUGGUGUAAAUCACAUUGGCCCCUUAGUACAAAAUAGACUGGACGGUCCUUUUGGGUCCUGGGGCCCAUUCAGACUGAGGGAGGGAGCAUGGGUGGGGGUAAGGGGUGAUUGGGGUAGAGCGAGAGGCUGCGUUGGGGCCUCUGUGAGGAUUCUAACUGGAGGGGGACUGCGUUGAUCAUAGACUGUUCUAACCCCCUCCCUUCUUACUGCGUUGAUCAUAGACUGUUCUAACCCCCUCCCUUCUUACUGCGUUGAUCAUAGACUGUUCUAACCCAUCAGACUGUUCUAACCCCUCCCUUCUUACUGCGUUGAUCAUACUGUUCUAACCCAUCAUAGACUGUUCUAACCCCCUCCAUUCUUACUGCGUUGAUCAUAGACUGUUCUAACCCAUCAUAGACUGUUCUAACCCCCUCCAUUCUUACUGCGUUGAUCAUAGACUGUUCUAACCCCCUCCCUUCUUACUUUUCCUGAAAUGAUGACGUUGC